AUUACACUUAAAGGAGGUCGGACUGAAAGCAAGGCUGCUUACAGAGAAGCCAGGGUCGUUUAAUAUAUAUUAAAGAAUAACUGAAAUUGUUCCUACUCCUCCCCUGCAGUCUGAGGAAAGUGGGAAAGGCUGCCAGCAGCCUCACUGCUGCCAGUGCUGUGCACACCUGGCUCACCAUCAGCAAGCUCCGUAGGGGCAGGAGG